rnacentral:rRNA from 1 species
UACGUAGGGGGCAAGCGUUGUCCGGAAUCAUUGGGCGUAAAGCGCGCGUAGGUGGCCUCAUAAGUCCGUUGUGAAAGUCAAAGGCUCAACCUUUGAAAGCCGAUGGAUACUGUGAGACUAGAGUACGGAAGAGGCGAGUGGAAUUCCUGGUGUAGCGGUGGAAUGCGCAGAUAUCAGGAGGAACACCAAUAGCGAAGGCAGCUCGCUGGGACGGUACUGACGCUGAGACGCGAAAGCGUGGGGAGCAAACAGG